rnacentral:lncRNA from 1 species
AAACGAUAUGGGCCAUGGCUUAUAUUCUACACCAUGUGCAAUAAUACAGCCAGCUGACCUAUGUUUAUCAACAAUUUAUUGUCAUCAACGUCGGCAACUCACCGACACUCAAGACAAUUACCAAUUGUCCUUUGGAUUUACCAAGCAACUGCCCAUUUUUCUUUAUCUCUUCUGGAUCUAAUAACUGAAUUUCUGCUCUUUCUUUAAUGAAGUCAAGUUAUCUUUGGAGUAUCUUGAAAAAGUUUUUCAAAACAAGCGGUUUCUCCUGCAACAUAAACUAAAUUUUGGUUUUGAUUUUUGGUGGUCUUGUUUUCCUCUCGAAAAGGUAGUAAUAAUUUGGAAUAUCGAAGUCGGACGGUGUCUGCAUCUUAAAGAUAGUCGGGAGAGAAAUUUUUUUUAUUAUGCUAUUAAAAUUUUAAUUUUAAUUUUUCGAAUUAAAAAUUUAAUAUUUUAUCGCAUAAUAUUUAAUAAAUUAAAAAAAUUAAAUUUAAAAAAAUUAUCUUUUUAUGUAUUCAGAAUGAAUUAUUUCAAAUCAGAUUUAUUAUAAAUCUCGAUUGUUAUUUACAUAUAUAAAAAUUGUUGAUAGUUGAAUUAAACCUAAAUUUUAUAAAAAAAAAAUUCAGUGUUUACCAAUUCAAUCAAUCCUGUUUUCAUACUACUUUUAGCUUUAUUUCCCAAAUACAAAUAAAAAAUUAGUAUUCCAAUUAAGUAGAAACUGCUCUAAAUCUUUUGGCAAAGACGUUUGAAGGUCAUUGAGUUGACCUGCAAAGGCUUAGAUCAAACGGUGUUUAUACCGAUUUCUGAACCUCGAACUGGUUGUUUCCCCCGUUCAUGUCCGUUCCACCUAAGUUUACAGUUAAGGAUGAUAGUGAAGUUGAAACCUUUAAUUUGUUACCAUUAAGAUAAGGAUUCAAUUAAUUAAAUAAUAACAAUUUAUUAAUGAGUUAAAUUGUAUGAUAAUAUCGAAUAAAUUUUUUAAAAUAUUUUAAAUUUUAUACUUUUAUUUUAAACAUUAAUAUUUAUUUAUUGAUUAAUUAAUAUUAUUUAAUUUACUAAUAAUAUAUAAAAUUUAUA